CCAGAAUCCUGCUGCAUCAGAGUUUCCCAGGCAACUUAGUUGGUGCCCCUGGAGCCUUUAGGUCAGAUUGGCUAGGGCAGUAUACCAGUGUGGCUGCCUUCAUACAGAGUUCUACCUAUACAACAGGCUAGUAACUGAAUACUCCUACCUUUGAUACCCGAAAUUGGCUAAACUUAAUGAUAAUCCUAUGAGAUUUUAGGUAGAAAUUGCUAUGCCGCGGUGGAUUCUUUCUCCAUAUAAAAGCUCCACCAACCAUUUUGUCACCCCGGUUGGUGUCAGCAUACCAUGGUACAACAGCCUGAUAGCUGGCAAGAGUGUCAUCUUCCUCCUGAUUCGCAAGUUCUGCUUGGAGGUGUUGCAGUUAUUAUAUUGGAUCUUUAUCUUCCUCUUUGCCCUACUUGCUGUUACCUGGAACUACAUGAUGAAGCUGCUGGGAUUUUCAAGGCCUGAACCAAACAUGACCCCCGACAAUCACAACUGCGAUAGUAUUGCCGAAAAUUGCAAGGUUGUCCUUCAGGCCAUCCUAUGUCUGAUCUUUAUUCUAAAAAAUCACCAGAUGUGCAUAUGAAUAAAACUCUGCUAUAAUCACCUCA